rnacentral:tRNA from 1 species
GGGGCCAUAGCUCAGCUGGGAGAGCGCCUGCCUUGCAAGCAGGAGGUCAG